AUUCAUGUGGCGAGUCCAAAUCAGGACGAAAUGCGCAUCCUGGAU
rnacentral:hammerhead_ribozyme from 1 species